rnacentral:rRNA from 1 species
CAGGCCUAACACAUGCAAGUCGAACGGCACCGCGGGAGCAUCCUGGCGGCGAGUGGCGAACGGGUGAGUAAUAUAUCGGAACGUGCCCAUUAGUGGGGGAUAGCCCGGCGAAAGCCGGAUUAAUACCGCAUACGACCUGAGGGUGAAAGCGGGGGAUCGCAAGACCUCGCGCUAUUGGAGCGGCCGAUAUCAGAUUAGCUAGUCGGUGGGGUAAAGGCCUACCAAGGCAACGAUCUGUAGUUGGUCUGAGAGGACGACCAGCCACACUGGGACUGAGACACGGGCCAGACUCCUACGGGAGGCAGCAGUGGGGAAUUUUGGACAAUGGGCGCAAGCCUGAUCCAGCAAUGCCGCGUGCAGGAAGAAGGCCUUCGGGUUGUACACUGCUUUUGUCAGGGAAGAAAUCCUUUGGGUUAAUACCUCGGAGGGAUGACGGUACCUGAAGAAUAAGCACCGGCUAACUACGUGCCAUCAGCCGCGGUAAU